GAUGAACGCUGGCGGUAUGCUUUACACAUGCAAGUCGUACGAGAGUUUUUAACUCAAGUGGCGGACGGGUGAGUAACACGUAAGAAUUUGCCUUUAGGAGGGGGAUAACAACUGGAAACGGUUGCUAAUACCCCAUAUGCUUUCGAGUGAAAUGGAUUUAUCCGCCUAGAGAGAAGCUUGCGGCUGAUUAGCUUGUUGGUAAGGUAAUGGCUUACCAAGGCGACGAUCAGUAUCUGGUUUGAGAGGACGAUCAGACACACUGGAACUGAGACACGGUCCAGACUCCUACGGGAGGCAGCAGUGGGGAAUUUUCCGCAAUGGGCGAAAGCCUGACGGAGCAAUACCGCGUGAGGGAUGACGGCCUAUGGGUUGUAACCCUCUUUUUUCAGGGAGGAAUCAAAUGACGUGUACCUGAAGAAUAAGCAUCGGCUAACUCCGUGCCAGCAGCCGCGGUAAGACGGAGGAUGC
rnacentral:rRNA from 1 species